UACGGAGGAUCCGAGCGUUAUCCGGAUUUAUUGGGUUUAAAGGGAGCGCAGGCGGCGUGUCAAGUCAGCGGUAAAAUGUCGGGGCUCAACCCCGGCCCGCCGUUGAAACUGGCAGUCUCGAGUUGGAGAGAAGUAUGCGGAAUGCGCGGUGUAGCGGUGAAAUGCAUAGAUAUCACGCAGAACUCCGAUUGCGAAGGCAGCAUACCGGCGCCCGACUGACGCUGAAGCACGAAAGCGUGGGUAUCGAACAGG
rnacentral:rRNA from 1 species